CCUACGGGAGGCUGCAGUGAGGAAUAUUGGUCAAUGGACGAGAGUCUGAACCAGCCAAGUAGCGUGAAGGAUGACUGCCCUAUGGGUUGUAAACUUCUUUUAUAUGGGAAUAAAAUGUUCCACGUGUGGGAUUUUGUAUGUACCAUAUGAAUAAGGAUCGGCUAACUCCGUGCCAGCAGCCGCGGUAAUACGGAGGAUCCGAGCGUUAUCCGGAUUUAUUGGGUUUAAGGGGAGCGUAGGUGGAUUGUUAAGUCAGUUGUGAAAGUUUGCGGCUCAACCGUAAAAUUGCAGUUGAAACUGGCAGUCGUGAGUACAGUAGAGGUGGGCGGAAUUCGGGGUGUAGCGGUGAAAUGCUUAGAUAUCACGAAGAACUCCGAUUGCGAAGGCAGCUCACUGGACUGCAACUGACACUGAGGCUCGAAAGUGUGGGUAUCAAACAGGAUUAGAACCCCAGUAGUC
rnacentral:rRNA from 1 species